rnacentral:rRNA from 1 species
UACGUAGGGUGCGAGCGUUGUCCGGAAUUAUUGGGCGUAAAGAGCUUGUAGGCGGUUUGUCGCGUCUGCUGUGAAAAUCCGGGGCUCAACCCCGGACUUGCAGUGGGUACGGGCAGGCUAGAGUGUGGUAGGGGAGACUGGAAUUCCCGGUGUAGCGGUGGAAUGCGCAGAUAUCAGGAGGAACACCGAUGGCGAAGGCAGGUCUCUGGGCCACUACUGACGCUGAGAAGCGAAAGCGUGGGGAGCGAACAGG